UGGGGCGUGUGAGUGGUGUUUGGUUGUGUGUGUCGGCAGGCUCCGUGCUACGCGCAUCGAACUGUCGAGCCGCACUCCUCUUCAAUAUCCUCCCCUUGUGGCCGUAGGGCCCAGGGGGUGUUCGAGGGAUCCCGUGUUGCCUACCAAAGUUGAUGGAAUUUCGGAUGUGCUAUCAUCCAUGCUCCGUCGGGUGGCCUUUCGGCUGCUCGGUGGACCUUAGUCUUGCCCGUUGUCCCGACUGUAUCGGUCUGUGUGAUUCGAUCAUGUUGGUGCAUCGGUGCUCGAUCGUGCUUUCGGAUGCGGAAAAUCGUGUGAGCAUAGGGUCAAGGCCCUGUUUGCUCGACCCGUUUGCAUUUUGUCCCUCGAUACGAACGAUGCUCUUGCCUUGUUACGGCCGCACGCCUACCCCGGUAGUGCGAUGCGGAUCGUUCAGGGCGGACGUCGUCAAGGAAUGCUACCUGGUUGAUCCUGCCAGUAGUCAUAUGCUUGUCUCAAAGAUUAAGCCAUGCAUGGGA
rnacentral:misc_RNA from 1 species